rnacentral:rRNA from 1 species
UACGGGGGGGGCAAGCGUUGUUCGGAAUUACUGGGCGUAAAGGGCGCGUAGGCGGUUUGCUAAGUUGGAUGUGAAAACUUUGGGCUUAACCCAGAGCCUGCAUCCAAAACUAGCAGACUAGAGUUCUGGAGGGGGUAGCGGAAUUCCUGGUGUAGCGGUGAAAUGCGUAGAGAUUGGGAAGAACACCAGUGGCGAAGGCGGCUGACUGGUCCGGUUCUGACGCUGAGGCGCGAAAGCGUGGGGAGCAAACAGG